rnacentral:tRNA from 1 species
GGAGUCUGGUUCAGUGGGAGAGCAUCUACUUGGUGUGCAGAAGGUCUUGGGUUCAAUCCCCGACAUCUCCA